rnacentral:ncRNA from 1 species
UAGCCGGUGAAAGUUCGGUGCGGGUAAUUAUCAGGGAGCCCGUUAGCGUAACUGCCAUGCGUAGGAGAAAUUCUAGGUAUGAAGCGCAGGGGUAAGCAGUCAGACAGACUGUGAGCGAGCAUGCAGGCCGUAAUGAAA